rnacentral:rRNA from 1 species
CUGCAUGGCUGUCGUCAGCUCGUUGUCGUGAGAUGUUGGGUUAAGUCCCGCAACGAGCGCAACCCUUGCCUUUAGUUGCCAGCAGUUCGGCUGGGCACUCUAAAGGGACUGCCGGUGUUAAACCGAGGAAGGUGGGGAUGACGUCAAGUCCUCAUGGCCUUUAUGACCAGGGCUACACACGUACUACAAUGGCCGAUACAAAGGGCAGCGACACUGCGAGGUGAAGCCAAUCCCGUAAAAUCGGUCUCAGUCCGGAUUGGAGUCUGCAACUCGACUCCAUGAAGUUGGAAUCGCUAGUAAUCGUGGAUCAGCAUGCCACGGUGAAUACGUUCCCGGGCCUU